CCUGUGGUUGGGUGGCUUCCCAGCACCCACUGUGUGGUGGGGUGGAGAGCCUCGGCUGGGGUUCACGGGGCUGUGCUCUCAUCUCCCCAGCCUUGUCUUCAACUCCCUUUUCCUCGCCGACCUUGAACCACGCCUUUUCCUGCAACAACCCCAGCACCCUUCCCCGUGGAUCCCAGCCCAUGAGUCCUCGAACUACAAUGGGGCGGAGGAGGCAGCGAAGAAGGGAACACAAGAGCUCGUUGUCGCUAGCCUCCAGCACGGUGGGGCCGGGCGGGCAGAUUGUGCACACGGAGACCACGGAGGUCGUGCUCUGUGGAGACCCCCUCAGCGGCUUUGGCCUCCAGCUCCAGGGCGGCAUCUUCGCCACCGAGACCCUGUCCUCCCCACCCCUCGUGUGCUUCAUCGAGCCUGACAGUCCGGCUGAGAGGUGAGCCUCCUGCCCCCUCCCUACUGAGCCUGCCACUCUCUGAGAGAAACUGAGUCACAGCACCAAGCCCUAGCUUCACAAGCGCAUCUCACUUAACCAUUGCA
rnacentral:lncRNA from 1 species